rnacentral:rRNA from 1 species
CGUAGGGAAACUUACGCUAAUACCGCAUACGACCUACGGGUGAAAGUGGGGGACCGCAAGGCCUCAUGCGAUAGAAUGAGCCGAUGUCGGAUUAGCUAGUUGGCGGGGUAAAGGCCCACCAAGGCGACGAUCCGUAGCUGGUCUGAGAGGAUGAUCAGCCACACUGGAACUGAGACACGGUCCAGACUCCUACGGGAGGCAGCAGUGGGGAAUAUUGGACAAUGGGCGCAAGCCUGAUCCAGCCAUACCGCGUGAGUGAAGAAGGCCCUCGGGUUGUAAAGCUCUUUUGUUGGGAAAGAAAUCCUGUUGGCUAAUACCCGGCAGGGAUGACGGUACCCAAAGAAUAAGCACCGGCUAACUUCGUGCCAGCAGCCGCGGUAAUACGAAGGGUGCAAGCGUUACUCGGAAUUACUGGGCGUAAAGCGUGCGUAGGUGGUGGUUUAAGUCUGUUGUGAAAGCCCUGGGCUCAACCUGGGAAUUGCAGUGGAUACUGGAUCACUAGAGUGUGGUAGAGGGUGGCGGAAUUCCCGGUGUACCAGUGAAAUGCGUAGAGAUCGGGAGGAACAUCCGUGGCGAAGGCGGCCACCUGGGCCAACACUGACACUGAGGCACGAAAGCGUGGGGAGCAAACAGGAUUAGAUACCCUGUAGUCCACGCCCUAAACGAUGCGAACU